UUUUUUUCUUGUAGCCUGAUUUCAGUAGACUGAUUGUGGUUAAAAAACUUUUCGCUUUCAACAUGAAGAUUUGUGUACUCCUCUGGAUGGUGUUGUCAUUUUGUCUAUAUUAUUCACAUGGAGGAGUAGCAGUAGGACACAAGUUGUUAAAAGAAGCAGAGAAAUUAAUAGAACUUCGACCACAAUGUUAUGGUGGAAACUGCAUGGAACCGGUAUAGUUAUUUUAAAUUUUUAUGAGAUAAUACUCGAUUAUCAAAUAUAAUAAAUUAUAUAAUCAUAGUGUACAUUAAGUAA